rnacentral:rRNA from 1 species
AUGUUGGCGUCUCUCCGUGCGGCGGCGACGAGGAUCCUGCGUCUUCCAGGCGAGGGGCUUCGCCGUCUCGUCCACACCAACCAGCGGUCCGCACCCUCCCGUGCCUUGGAGGAAGGAUACCGUGGGUCGCAAACCCAGCCGAAGAAAGAGGAGCUGUACACGGCUUCCCAGCUAGGCAGGCGUCCGAUGACUACAGCCAAGAAGUGGACUGCGGCAGCGCUUGUUGGUGUUGCUGGUGCAAUCGCUGUCGGUGCCGUUGCUGCUGGUGAUGGUGGUCAGGAUUGGCCUCAUUGCCACCGCUGUGGUGGAGUUCUUCCUAAGAAGUGCGUCCUGUGCGGGCAGAAUCUCCCUCGUCCAAUUUCUGAAGCAAUGCAGGCUGCCUCAAAGUGUGGCCAAGCAAGUGGGGUAGCGCAUCUAGUUUGA